GUGAGACUCAUCAGCUCUAUAGAUUCAUGAUGUGGUGAUUGGUUGCUGACACCUGGCUGGCUAUUAUAUUUAGCUCCUUUUUGGUCCCCAUAUUUUAGAAACCCCCCCCCCCCCCCCCUCAUUUUCAACCGGAUCCACUACUUUUAUCAACUUUUCAACCAAACAUUUAAUCUACUUUUAUCAAAAUCUAAAAUCUACUAAAAAACUGAUUUUUAGCAUAGCCAAACAGGGGCUUACUAACAUGCUCGUAUAAAUUCAUCAAUAAAACUUGGCAGGGGGAGCGACAUAAAACUGGCUGAGACUGUGAGCCCUGUUUCACCCUCAGCUAAUGCUAAACGGGUUGUCAAUGAUGUGCAACCGUGUGCUUCCCGUGCUAAUGCUGCACCUAAUGAUGCUGUCUCUCCUGUUUAUGCUCCUGGUUCUACUGUAGCAGCUGGUGCAACUGCUAAGAGAUCGGGACCCAGUAGAGCAUCAACUGCCUCAAUCCCCUCUUCUGGCCCUGGUGCUGACUAUGAUUCGGCCUAUGCACCGCUUGUCGAGCUUGCUGUUCAUGCAGCUGCUCAGACCUCAACUGGCCUUCCUACAGGUGGUAGCCCAGCAGAUACUGUUAAGAAGCGAAGGCGCAUGGCCUUACAAAAAAUUGGUUCCUGUGGACCCACUACUUCAGUCGCUGAUAAUGGCAGGAAAAGAAGAUCUAGGAAGAAAAAUAUCUCUGCAGUCAAUGACAACUUGGAGAAGCAUCAAAGAUAUAAUUCUCUGGGGAAUGAUGAUCAUGAAAUCCUAUCUGUUCGUGAUGAUGACUUGCCAGAAAACCUAGUUUUGUCAUGGAAAGAUUAUAUUACGGGGGUGGGCCAGGAGUUCAAAAGUGUGAAAGAGUUCCGGGAGGCACUGCAGAAGUAUGCUAUUGCGCACCGCUUUGUAUAUAAGUUGAAAAAGAAUGAUACUAUUCGUGCUCGUGGCAUAUGCGCUGCAGAAGGAUGUUCUUGGAAGAUUCAUGCAUCUAGGGAUUCUACAUCUCAGUCAUUUCAGAUUAAAAAGUUCAACAAUACACAUACAUGUGGUGGGGAAUCUUGGAAGAAUGAAAACCCAGCAAAGAAGUGGUUGGUUGGUGUUAUAAAGAACAAGUUACGUGAGUCCCCACAUCACAAAACCAAGGAAAUUGCUAACAGCAUCUCGCAGGACUUUGGAAUUCAAUUAACAUAUACACAAGUGCGGCGUCGAAUUAGGGAUGCCAGAGAGCAACUUCAGGGUUCAUAUAAGAAGUCUUACAAUUGGUUGCCUUGGUUCUGCAAGACAGUGGUGGAAACAAAUCCUGGUAGUAUUGUCAAGCUUGUCACUAAUUAUGAGAAAAGACUUCGGUGCCUUUUUGUGUCAUUUUAUUCUUCUAUACAUGGCUUCCACGGUGGUUGCCGUCCCAUUCUUUUUCUUGAAUCUACAUCUCUACGAUCGAAGUACCGAGAAAUUUUGUUGACUGCAACUGCAGUCGAUGCAGACGAUGGUUUCUUCCCGGUUGCAUUUGCUAUAGUUGAUGUUGAAACCAAGGAUAACUGGCUAUUGUUUCUGAAGCAACUAAAAUCUGCAAUGUCAACUUCACAAUCCAUAACAUUUGUCUCAGAUAGAGAGAAGGGGUUAAAGCAGUCUAUUCUUGAGGUAUUCGAGAAUUCUUGCCACGGUUAUUCCAUUUUCCACCUUAUGAAAAGUUUCAAGAGGAACAUGAAAGGGCCAUUCCAUGGGGAUGGAAGAUGUGUCCUACCUGAAAGUUUUCUAGCCGCUGCCCAUGCUGUCCGACUUAAUGAUUUCAAAAUGUUCACAGAGCAAAUUAGACAGAUCUCGUCACAUGUUUAUGAUUGGGUUAUUCAAAUUGAACCCGAGAACUGGACUCGUUUGUCAUUCAAAGGUGAGCAGUAUAAUCAUAUCACACAGAAUGUUGCAGAAUCAUACACUAAGCUGAUGGAGGAAAAACGGGAAUUAACUAUAAUGCAGAAGAUAGAAGCCCUGAGGAGCAUGAUGAAUGAGUUGAUAAAUAAUCGUCAAAUGGAAUCGAGUAAAUGGACGACAAAACUCACUCCCUCGAAAGAGAAAUUGAUGCAAGAAGCUGUUCUUAAAGCAUUUGGACUGAGAGUCUUUGCCUCGUCAGAUACUCUGUUUGAGGUCCAUGAUAAUUCUACUCAUGUUGUGAAUAUUGAAAAGCGGGAAUGUACAUGCCUAGAGUGGAAAGAAAGUGGGCUUCCAUGCUACCAUGCUAUUGCUGCCUUAAACUGUGCAGGGAAGAAUGUUUAUAACUACUGUUCAAGAUAUUUUACCACUGAGACUUACCAAUCAACGUAUUCGAAGUCUAUAAAUCCUAUUCCUGGCAUUGAUAAGCCCAUACGAAAAGAAAAUGGCGAUUCAGAUACCAUGGAAGUGCUUCCUCCUUGUCCCCCUCGUAUGCCAAAUCAACACAAGGAAGAAGAGAGCAAUUCAGAGAAUCCGGAUAAGAAGACUGUCACUUGUACCAGGUGCAAGCAGCUCGGGCAUAACAAAGCUUCAUGCAAAGAAGAUAUAUAGCUUCCAUGUUUGGCCUUCUUUGUGUAUACACCGUAUAUAAGCCUGGUUACUCCUAAGCUAUAAGCGGUUUGGCCGAGUUGGUGCAGUUCUAGUAGGUCAUUGAAGACGCUAGUUUUAAACAGAUACUUGCUUUAGUCUUAUGAUUGAAGCACUUUUAUUUAGUUUGCAGAAUAUAUUAUGUUAAUUGAGUUGUCUUUUUAUUAGUAUGCUCUUGUUUGGUAAAGUUUCUUUUAGAUUUUAAGCAAUCAAAAUAUUUUUUUAACCACAUAUAUUAUAGAUUCACAAUUUUUAUUUAUU
rnacentral:lncRNA from 1 species